UUUAAUCUCAUUCGCGGCAAAAGAAUAGAGCUUGGGCUCGAGCAACCCAUCUUUAGGCCUAAUUUUGGACCUAGCCUACAAUUGUCAAGCCCAUAAUUUCUAGGACCAUACCCCUUAACCUAAAACCCUACAACCUAGACUAUACACUAUAAAAAAGAAGACAAAAGAAUAAGAAAAGGAACGAAGAAGAGGCUGGACAAAAGCUGAGAGAAAGGUUGCGCAGCUUUUGGAAAGAGAACGACCCCCUCCCAACGUCUUCUCCUCCGUCAUACCCCAUCCCCUGACCUGAUCGUCUUCAAUGUUUUCUUUGCCCGUUUCUGAUUUGGUUCUUCAACAUAAAUACAAAAACGACCCCCUGAUUUCGUCUCCCUCUCUCACCCGAUGACUGCUCACCCAAACGACCCCUGAACUUCCGGCGUCGACUCUGUCCAAACGACCUUUACUUCGCCGGUUAUCACUCAACCAGACGAGCUCCCUCGCCGGAAAACAACACCUAAUUCACUCUUUCACUGCCUACACACAUACGCUCAGUCACUCCUCACUAUCGUCGGAAUACACACGUAAUUCGUCACCGGAAAUUCUCAAAAGCACACACGAGAUAAAUUGAUUUCAAAGAUGGUUUUGAUUUUGUUUCUUCACUUGGAUUCGAUUUCUGGUUAUUCGAGUAUGGGGAUAAAGUUCAGUCGAGGUUGAUUCAAGUUCGUGUUCGAUUCGAAAUUCCGGUGCCGAUUUGAGUUUCCGUCCGGUGGCUUGCUGUUCCAGCUCGGGUUUUGCUGUUUAACGAGAGGACUGCGGAAUGGUAUUCUGAGAGAUGCCCCUGCAUAUUUAUUUUGGGACUACGGAACGGUAUUCUGGGAGAUCGCCCUGCAUAUUUACUUUGGGACUACGGGACGGUAUCCUGAAAGAUCCCCUUGCAUAUUUACUUUGGGACUGCGAGACGGUAUCCUCGGGAACCCCCUACACAUUUACUUUUUAGGACUAUGAGAUGGUAUCUAAUCCCCUGUUGUUAUUUCUGUACACUGUACUGUUAUGUUUCUGUGAUUCCCUUCUUAUUAAAUUUCAGUCUUUUUUUAA